CUGAUGUCCCGGGGCAGAAAUAGCCCGUUUCAUCAUCGGCUCUGGACGACCGCCGCCCGCAUUCCUCGAGUAAGGAGCCGUCCUCUGCUGUGCUUUUGGAGCAGAAUAAUCUGCAGCUAGGGGAAGGCCAGGCUGGGUCUCAGGGUGAGAGUUACAGAAGGAUAUGAAAUAAUCGGGGAAGAGGCAAGGUGGAGAGCAUGACCUCAUGUCUUGUUUAGGAUCCUAGAAACAGCAAGCUUUGCUCUGCAGCAGGAGCGAAUGGUGUUUGCUUGAAGUGGCUGAUUGAGG
rnacentral:lncRNA from 1 species